rnacentral:rRNA from 1 species
UGCCAGACUCCUACGGGAGGCAGCAGUGGGGAAUAUUGCACAAUGGGGGAAACCCUGAUGCAGCGACGCCGCGUGAGCGAUGAAGUAUUUCGGUAUGUAAAGCUCUAUCAGCAGGGAAGAAAAUGACGGUACCUGAAGAAGAAGCCCCGGCUAACUACGUGCCAGCAGCCGCGGUAAUACGUAGGGGGCAAGCGUUAUCCGGAUUUACUGGGUGUAAAGGGGGCGCAGACGGCGAUGCAAGCCAGGAGUGAAAGCCCGGGGCCCAACCCCGGGACUGCUCUUGGAACUGCGUGGCUGGAGUGCAGGAGGGGCAGGCGGAAUUCCUGGUGUAGCGGUGAAAUGCGUAGAUAUCAGGAGGAACACCGGUGGCGAAGGCGGCCUGCUGGACCGCGACUGACGUUGAGGCUCGAAAGCGUGGGGAGCAAACAGGAUUAGAUACCCCGGUACAA